CCUGAUGAAACUGCCCAGAAAAGCACCACUCUUGACCUUGAAAGGAGAAGGGAAAAUACAACAGCCCCGCCGUGGCUUUAAGAAAGCUGACCAAUCCCUGGGCGGCCUCCAAAUGUGCCCGCCUGGUCCCGUCAGUCCAUUUGGACAGUCAGCUGCAUUUCCCUAAAAGGAGACUCUCGUUGAGACUCGCUGAAAAGCAGGAGGUAUCGCGUCAUGCCCACGCCCUACCCCGGAGUCUCCCUGUCUGAGCCCUAAUGCCAGCGCUCACCUAAGCAGGUGUGGCCCAGGGAAACAGCUCUUCGGAUGAGAAAGAGAGACAGCUGAGAAGGAAUGGCGAGGCGUGCUGCAGGGUGCCCAGCGCCCACGGCAUCUCUGCCCAGCAUUAGCCGGUAUCCGUGGCAGUAGGCACCUUGGCCUGAUCCAGCCCUCUGCUGAUGGAAGAAGGCCCAAAGCUCCAAAAGCCAACAUCCCACCCAGAUCGUUUCUCCUGGAUUUUCGCGCUCUGCCCAUUAUCUGCCCCGCAUUGUUUCCUCUUCUUCUUGAAGCCCCGCUGCUCCAGGAGCUGCUCCCGCCCCAACACUCCUGCUGCUUCUUCAGCUGAACACGAUCCUUGAUCAUCGUCCCAGUGAAAGCACCUGGCGAGGCUCCAGAGGGCUGCCUGCCGGCUUCUUCAUUUGAGAUGGAGACCACAGUAAGGAGAGGGAGCUCGGCACCAGGGAGCGAGCCGCUUCCGGAACUUGGGAGCUUCUGGUGGCUACUGACGAGAGGAGACACCCAGCCGAAGGCGAGACUGGAGUCCAGAGACGUGCACCCGAGCAGCAUUUAGAGAGAUCCGCAGCUUGACUGGAAACCUACAGAAAUAAAUGAAUCAAUAUCGCAUGUUCUCAAAGCUCGUUCUUUCCAUUAAAAACACCAUCAAGCCUAUCAAAUGACUUUCAUGCUUUGCUUAUCAAAGUCAAGACAAAAGAGAAGGUUUUAAGCUUUUAUUUGUAUGAACUUCUCCACAAAUUACACAUUGCAGUCAUGGAAAUUCAUCAUCUCCAUGAAAUGAAAAGCUGAACUUAGUGAGUUGCCUCUUUUUCCAUACCAUUAUAAGACAAGAGCCUCAAAGGUCUUUGGGGAUUCUUUCAGAAUUGCGACCUCUCAAAUAUAUUUUACUACCUCCUUGCCUGCAGUGUGCUGAAUCUUGAGAAUCCUCAUGAACACAUUUUUCGCUGUUUCAUACACUUUCAGCCUCAUCUCAAGAUGAUGGCUGCUAUCGUGUUAAAAAAUAAACCACAAAGUUUUCAUUGUUAUAUUUAAUACUCACUAAAUAUGUAGCAAGCAUGUACUAGUACAAUGGAUACAAAUGUAUUUUCUACCAAAUGACUGUUUCGUUGAAGUAGAGAGACGUGGGGACACUUUCCCUAAGCUAAACCCUGCUCUAAUCGGCUUGCAUGGACUUCGGAAGAAAGAACUACUAAACAAUUGAAGAGAAUCAAUCAUUUCAUUACAAAAUAACUGUUUUAUUCUGCUUAAGGAGCAGUUUUAUAGUAAGUAAUAAAUACACUGAAAGCUCAACUGCACCGAUUGGUUCAUUUUAUAAAACGUUUCUUUAUGAACCAACAUUUGUAAGGAAAGAAUCGCUUCCAUCAUACCUUUCCUCUGUUUCUCACUGGCGCACCUUCCACACUCCUGCACAAACUCUGCUGAGUGACUAACCAGUGCUGUCAACCCGCUCUUCUACAGUUGUGCCAGACAGAAGAAUAGCCAACAAGAGCAUAAGAUCGGUUUCCAUUCGGCAUCAGUCCUAAUGCUGCCAGGAGGGCCAACGCAAGUGUGGUUUCUCCAGAGUUCACGGCAGUCUGUGACGAUUUCCGAUGGCUUGUCAUGUGCACACGGAGUGACGAUCCCUUUCAAACAGCCUGGCGUAUGCAUCGCAAGAGCACACGUGUUUGUAUUCCAUGAUUACCCACAUACUCAGGUAUGGUUUGGGGAUAACAAGGGCAAGAGGCACUGCACGGAGGCAGAGUCCAUCAUACAAGUAAGGGCAGGUAGGCACGUGCAUCUGAACUCAGGAAGAAUCGCUCUGUGCUUAAUGUCAGUGUUUGGGGUGGUUUGGAAAAAUGUGAUGAUAAUUUGAGAAAGUGCAGAAAUAUGUCGCACUCGUUCAGAAAGAAGCAGUCGGAUUGAGUGAAUGGAACAGAAUGUGUACCUACCUACUCUGCUGUGGAAACCCAUUCCUGGGGGACAUCAUCCCCUACCCUUUGGCUGGCCACACACGUGUGUACCAGAGGAGGACUCCAGAGUUGGGACGCGGAGUCCUGGUCCAUGGAAGGGGCUGCCGGGCAUCCCCCAGCUAAGGGGGGGGGGGGGGGAGGGCAAGUCCAGAAGUCAAGAAUUGGACCGAGACUGAGAUUUAGAUUAUCCAAACAGACGGUGCCAAGAGGAGAGCUGAAAACUGGCUCUAUAAGAGAAGGGACAGAGGAAGCGCUCACUUCCUUGCUGGAUGUGAGCAUCUCUCUCCCUUCUCUGGAGCAUUUAACACUUGGCAUGUACUGACUUGUCUCCUACUUGGAGAUCGAGUCUGGGACAUGUAGAAGCAGCUUUUAGUUAGGCACAGCCUGGUAAUCAUGUGAUCUUCCUCUCUCUCUCUCUCCUAUAUUUAGUAAUAAAUAAUUAUAAAUUAAUAGACAGUCCCCAAAUAAUUUUAUCAUAACAGAUUCAGAUCAUUUCUAUGUGCACUUGAUCAUGAGGGUUUCAAGUCACUUGAAACAAAUAUUAUACAUGUAUUUCUCAAAGAAGAAAAUAUAUUUAAAACGUAAAUUAAAAAAUAUUUACCAUUUAAAUUUUAUCACAAAUCCCUUAGAAUAUCUUUGUGAAUCCCUCAGGGGUUUAUGGACUACUAAAUAGAAGCCAGUGGUCUAGUGUGUUGCACAGGACACUCAGAAGUUCAAUCAAUUGCCCAAGGUCAAAAAGGCAGCAUAUAGCCAAGGUUCCCACCUCCUCCUGACUUUGAGGAUAGCCCUUCUUAUGUUCUAUAUUUUAUUCUAUUACUAUAUUCUAUAAUUGACAAAAACAAAUGUUGAAAUAUUUUAUGGAAACAGAUUUCCAUUCUCAGAGUGUGUCUUGUGUUUUAUGUAUUGUUAGUUUGUGACAAAUGAAAUUCCAUAAGGCUUUUAAUGUAAGGAAGCAAUGAAUCUGAACAAUUCCUAUUUUUUAAAUUCUCUUUUCUAGAUGUAUUAUUUACAAUAAUUUCAAAUAAAAAACCUCUGGCAUCUG